rnacentral:tRNA from 1 species
ACCAAUGUGACUGAUAAAAGUAAUAAACUGUAAAUUUAUUUAUGAAAAUUGUUUUCUUUUGGUA